GACAGGUGAUUGCUUGGAUUUUAUCCAAGAGGAAAGUCCGGGCUGCUUUGAGACAUGGUUUCGUCUAACAGACGACUGGGGCAACCCAAGGGAUUAGUGCAACAGAAAGCAAACUACCUCACUUUGCAAAAAGUGUGGCAAAGGUGAAACGGCGAGGUAAGAGCUCACCAGAGUCUAGAGUAAUCUAGAUUGCUAUGUAAACCCAACCCGCAGCAAGAAUGGAUUGGUUUCGUCUCAUGAUAAUACCAUUCGCUAGAGUGCUAUUGCAAGAUAGUAAGUAGAUAAAUGAUCAU
rnacentral:RNase_P_RNA from 1 species